rnacentral:tRNA from 1 species
CAAGUUAUAGCUUAAUUUAAAGUUUUUUAUUUACAUUAAAAAGAUUAAUUGAAAUCAAUUUAACUUGA